rnacentral:lncRNA from 1 species
AUGUUCAAGCUGGUUUUAGAAAAGGCAGAGGAACCAGAGAUCAAAUUGCCAACAUCUGCUGGAUCAUGGAAAAAGCAAAAGAGUUCCAAAAAAACAUCUAUUUCUGCUUUAUUGACUAUGCCAAAGUGUUUGACUGUGGAUCACAAGAAACUGUGGAAAAUUCUGAGAGAAAUGGGACUACCAGGCUACCUGACCUGCCUCUUGAGAAAUCUGUAUGCAGGUCAGGAGGCAACAGUUAGAACUGAACAUGGAACAGCAGACUGGUUCCAAAUGGGAAAAGGAGUACGUCGAGGCUGUAUAUUGCCACCCUAUUUAUUUAACUUAUAUGCAGAGUACAUCAUGAGAAAUGCUGGACUGGAAGAAACACAAGCUGGAAUCAAGAUUGCCGGGAGAAAUAUCAAUAACCUCAGAUAUGCAGAUGACACCACCUUUAUGGCAGAAAGUGAAGAGGAACUAAAAAGCCUCUUGAUGAAAGUGAAAGAAGAGAGUGAAAAAGUUGGCUUAAAGCUCAAUGUUCAGAAAACGAAGAUCAUGGCAUCCGGUCCCAUCACUUCAUGGGGAAUAGAUGGGGAAACAGUGGAAACAGUGUCAGACUUUAUUUUGGGGGGCUCCAAAAUCACUGCAAAUGGUGACUGCAGCCAUGAAAUUAAAAGACACUUACUCCUUGGAAGAAAAGUUAUGUCCAACCUAGAUAGCUUAUUGAAAAGCAGAGACAUGACUUUGUCGACUAAGGUCCGUCUAGUCAAGGCUAUGGUUUUUCCUGUGGUCAUGUAUGGAUGUGAGAGCUGCACUGUGAAGAAGGCUGAGCGCCAAAGAAUUGGUGCUUUUGAACUGCGGUGUUGGAGAAGACUCUUGAGAGUCCCUUGGACUGCAAGGAGAUCCAACCAGUCCAUUCUGAAGGAGAUCAGCCCUGGGAUUUCUUUGGAAGGAAUGAUGCUAAAGCUGAAACUCCAGGACUUUGGCCACCUCAUGCAAAGAGUUGACUCACUGGAAAAGACUCUGAUGCUGGGAGGGAUUAGGGGCAGGAGGAGAAGGGGAUGA